GCAGAGUGCUGAUUGGUGUGUUUACAAUCCUUUAGCUAGACAGAAAAGUUCUCCAAGUCCCCACCUGACCCAGAAGCCCAGCCGGCUUCACCUCUCAAUGUUAGCUGUGAAUUUUUCACUGGUGCUUUAUUAGUAUUUUGUUGAGAAUUUCUGCACCUUUAUUCAUAAGAAAUAUUGGUCUGUAGUUUCCUUUUCUUGUGACGUCCUUGUUUAAGUUUGGUAUCAGGGUAAUUCUAACCUCACAGAAUGAGUGGGAGUGUUCCCUCCUCUUGUGUUUUUUGGAAGAGUAUGUGAAGAAUUGGUGUUAAUUGUUAUUUAAACUUUGGUAGAAGUUACCAAUGAAGCAAUCUGGUUUUGGGUUUUUCCUUGUGGGAAGUGGCUUUAUUGCUAAUUUAAUCUCUUUACUUCUUUGAUAUAGAUUUAUUAAUAUUUUUCUAUUGCUCUUGAGUCAGUUUUAGUA
rnacentral:lncRNA from 1 species